rnacentral:rRNA from 1 species
UACGUAGGGUGCGAGCGUUAAUCGGAAUUACUGGGCGUAAAGCGUGCGCAGGCGGCUUUGCAAGACAGAUGUGAAAUCCCCAGGCUUAACCUGGGAACUGCAUCCGAUACUGGAUGGCUUGAAUCCGGGAGAGGGAUGCAGAAUUCCAGGUGUAGCGGUGAAAUGCGUAGAUAUCUGGAGGAAUACCGGUGGCGAAGGCGGCAUCCUGGACCGGCAUUGACGCUGAUGAGCGAAAGCUAGGGGAGCAAACGGG